rnacentral:rRNA from 1 species
GACGAACGCUGGCGGCGUGCUUAACACAUGCAAGUCGAACGGAAAGGCCCUGCUUUUGUGGGGUGCUCGAGUGGCGAACGGGUGAGUAACACGUGAGUAACCUGCCCUUGACUUUGGGAUAACUUCAGGAAACUGGGGCUAAUACCGGAUAGGAGCUCCUGCUGCAUGGUGGGGGUUGGAAAGUUUUGGCGGUUGGGGAUGGACUCGCGGCUUAUCAGCUUGUUGGUGGGGUAGUGGCUUACCAAGGCUUUGACGGGUAGCCGGCCUGAGAGGGUGACCGGCCACUUUGGAGCGGGAAAGCGCCACAGCCCACAACGGGAGGCGGGAGGGGGGAUGUGGGAAGUGGGGGCGGAAGCCGGGUGAGACGCCGCCGGGGGGGGGAUGAGGCCUUUCGGUUUUAAACCCGUUUCGGCCUGGAAGAAAGGGGGAGUGAGGGUAAGGGGUAAAAAAGCCCGGACUAAGUAGGUG